rnacentral:rRNA from 1 species
AAAGUCCGCAAGGAUGAGUACAGUGGCGUACGGGUGAGUAACACGUGGAUGAUCUACCUCUUAGCGGGGAAUACCUCUGGGAAACCGGAGACAAUACCGCAUAAGCUCGAAAGAGGAAACCCGAAAGGGGCUGAGAGAGGAGUCCGCGGCCGAUUAGCUAGUUGGUAGGGUAAAAGCCUACCAAGGCCGAGAUCGGUAGCCGGCCUGAGAGGGCACACGGCCACACUGGCACUGAAACACGGGCCAGACUCCUACGGGAGGCAGCAGUGGGGAAUCUUGCACAAUGGGGGCAACCCUGAUGCAGCGACGCCGCGUGAGCGAUGAAGCCCUUCGGGGUGUAAAGCUCUUUCGACGGGAACGAUAAUGACGGUACCCGGAGAAGAAGCUGCGACUAACUACGUGCCAGCAGCCGCGGUAAUACGUAGGCAGCAAGCGUUGUUCGGAGUUACUGGGCGUAAAGAGUGCGUAGGCGGCUCACCAAGUCUGCUGUGAAAUCUCCCGGCUUAACCGGGAGGGUGCGGUGGAAACUGGCGGGCUGGAGUGUGGGAGAGGUCAGCGGAAUUCCUGGUGUAGCGGUGAAAUGCGUAGAUAUCAGGAGGAACACCGGCGGUGUAGACGGCUGACUGGACCAUGACUGACGCUGAGGCACGAAAGCGUGGGUAGCAAACAGGAUUAGAUACCCUGGUAGUCCACGCCCUAAACGAUGCACACUUGGUGUGAGCCAUUCAUUUGGUUCGUGCCGGAGCUAACGCGUUAAGUGUGCCGCCUGGGGAGUACGGUCGCAAGGCUG